AGUGGUAGCUCAGUGGUUAAGGCGUUGAGCUUUUACUCAGAAGGUCGUGAGUUCGAGCCACCACACUG